UCCCUUAGAGAUAGGGUGAGAAGCUCUGCCAUCCGGGAGGAACUCAAAGUAAAGCCGCUGCUCCUCCACAUGGAGAGGAGCCAGAUGAGGUGGUUCGGGCAUCUGGUCAGGAUGCCACCCGAACGCCUCCCUAGGGAGGUGUUUAGGGCACGUCCAACCGGUAGGAGGCCACGGGGAAGACCCAGGACACGUUGGGAAGACUAUGUCUCCCGGCUGGCCUGGGAACGCCUCGGGAUCCCCCGGGAAGAGCUAGACGAAGUGGCUGGGGAGAGGGAAGUCUGGGCUUCCCUGCUUAGGCUGCUGCCACCGCGACCCCACCUCGGAAAAGCGGAAGAUGAUGGAUGGAUGGAUGGAUGGUAUAACAGCGGUAUAUGAAAACGAUGUUACUAAUGCUGUUACUUUUACCGGUAACGAGUAAGCUAAUAACUUUUAUGUACGCUACAACGCUGUUACGAUGCGUUUUAUGUAAUCUGGCAUGCUACUUUUGAUGUGAUUGUAUGUCAACAAGACAGCGUUAGAAGCACAGAAGGGUUAGUGCAGGUAAUAUCUUUUUACUAAUGAAAGCAACCCCCGGAAGUAAUUAUGAACACGAUAUCAAAUAGAAAGAGGCCUCAUCCACACACAAACAAAAACAUUCAACAGAACUAUCUUAACUGCCACUGCUAAGCUAAAAAAUACAGCUGAACUAUUCUGCGAUGUCUGGGCGCUGAAGUCCCACGUCACUUGGCAAAAGGCACAGCUUUUUAAAGGCACACACACACUCUGCUCUCAUGAAAUGUCUCUCAACUGCAUAUGCUAGAUAUUUAAAACUUUUCUUUUUCAAGUAACACAUUAAUUACAAAACCCGUUUCCAUAUGAGUUGGGAAAUUGUGUUAGAUGUAAAUCCAAACGGAAUAAUUUUUUUUACAAAUAAUAAUUAACUUAGAAUUUCAUGGCUGCAAUACGUGCCAAAGUAGUUGGGAAAGGGCAUGUUCACCACUGUGUUACAUCACCUUUUCUUUCAACAACACUCAAUAACCGUUUGGGAACUGAGGAAACUAAAUGUUGAAGCUUGGAAGGUGGAAUUCUUUCCCAUUCUUGUUUUAUGUAGAGCUUCAGUCUCCUCUGUCGUAUUUUACGCUUCAUAAUGCACCACACAUUUUUGAUAGGACUGCAGGCCGGCCAGGAAAGUACCUGCACUCUUUUUUUAUGAAGCUGAACACGUGCUGAAUGUGGCUUGGCAUUGUCUUGCUGAAAUAAGCAGGGGCGUACAUGAAAAAGUCGGCGCUUAAAUGGCAGCAAAUGUUGUUCCAAACAGAUGGGUAACUUACAGAUGUGUAAGUUACCCAUGCCUUGGGCACUAAUGCACCCCCAUACCAUCACAGAUGCUGGCUUUUGAACUUUGCGUCGAUAACAUUCUGGAUGGUUCGCUUCCCCUUUGGUCCGGAUGAAACGGUGUCCAAUAUUUCCAAAAAUAAUUUGAAAUGUGGGCUCGUUAGACCACAGAACACCUUCCACUUUGCAUCAGCCCAUCUUAGAUGAUCUCGGGCCCAGAGAAGCCGGCGGCGUUUCUGGAUGUUGAUAAUUGGCUUUCGCUUUGCAUAAUAGAGCUUUAACUUGCACUUACAGAUAUAGCAACACACUGUAUUUAGUGACAGUGGUUUUCUGAAGUGUUCCUGAACUCAUGUGGUGAUAUCCUUUAGAGAUUGAUGUCGGUUUUUGAUACAGUGCCGUCUGAGGGAUCGAAGGUCACAGUUAUUCAAUGUUGGUUUCCAGACAUGCCGCUUACGUGGAGUGAUUUCUCCGGAUUCUCUGAACCUUUUGAUGAUAUCAUGGAGCGUAGAUGUUGAAAUCCCUAAAUUUCUUGCAAUUGCACUUUGAGAAAGGUUGUUCUUAAACUGUUUGACUAUUUGCUCACGCAGUUGUGGACAAAGGGGUGUACCUCGCCCCAUCCUUUCCUGUGAAAGACUGAGCAUUUUUUGGGAAGCUGUUUUUAUAGCCAAUCAUGGCACCCACCUGUUCCCAAUUAGCCUGCACACCUGUGGGAUGUCCCAAAUAAGUGUUUGAUGAGCAUUUCUUAACUUUAUCAGUAUUUAUUGCCACCUUUCCCAACUUGUUUGUUGCGUGUUGCUGGCAUCAAUUUCUAAAGUUAAUGAUUAUUUGCACCAAAAAAAUGUUUAUCAGUUUGAACAUCAAAUAUCAAUCAAUCAAUCAAUGUUUACUUAUAUAGCCCUAAAUCACUAGUGUCUCAAAGGGCUGCACAAACCACUACGACAUCCUCGGUAGGCCCACAUAAGGGCAAGGAAAACUCACACCCAGUGGGACGUCGGUGACAAUGAUGACUAUGAGAACCUUAGAGAGGAGGAAAGCAAUGGAUGUCGAGCGGGUCUAACAUGAUACUGUGAAAGUUCAAUCCACAAUGGAUCCAACACAGUCGCAAGAGUCUAGUCCAAAGCGGAUCCAACACAGCAGCGAGAGUCCCGUUCACAGCGGAGCCAGCAGGAAACCAUCCCAAGCGGAGGCGGAUCAGCAUCGCAGAGAUGUCCCCAGCCGAUACACAAGCAAAUAUAUGUUGUCUUUGUAGCAUAUUCAACUGAAUAUGGGUUGAAAAGGAUUUGCAAAUCAUUGUAUUCUGUUUAUAUUUACAUCUAACACAAUUUCCCAACUCAUAUGGAAACGGGGUUUGUACUUAAUUUAAUAAUUAUUUACAUUUAUGAAAGAGUAAUUCUGUUUGUAAUAGAAUUUUUAGUCAAGUAACGACUAUUAUUAUUGCUUUUUAAAACAGAUAUUCCAAACAUUGUUAAUUGAUAAACUGUUUUAUCAGGAUAUGGUGUAUUUGCUCUUGCAUCAAUUUAAAAAGGUUCUUUUGUGGUCGAGUACCGAGGGAAGUUCAUCUCAAGACAUGAGCGGGACAAGAGACAGAAACCCUCUAUAAAUAUCUUUACUAUUUAUCUGGCAUUAUAUGCUCAUAAUGUUAACAACAAAAAGUGCUGAUAAUGUUAUAAUUAAUAAGUUCUAACAUUAUUUUUAUGUGUUUUGUUGCAGACACCAACUGUUGAUGUUCUAUCUCAACAUUCUCCAGAUUCAUGUGACCGAUAAACCGACUUCAUCCCUCCAACAGACACCAACUGUUGGGGUUCUAUCUCAACAUUCUCCAGAUUCAGAUGUGAGCGAUAAACCGACUUCAUCCCUCCAACAGAAACCAACUGUUGAGGUUCCAUCUCAACAUUCUCCAGAUUCAGAUGUGAGCCAUUAACUGACUUCAUCCCUCCAACAGAAACCAACUGUUGAGGUUCUAUCUCAACAUUCUCUAGAUUCAGAUGACAGCCAUAAACCGACUUCAUCCCUCCAACAGAUUGACAGCAGGACAAAUCGCUGGAAGUAGGUAUGUCUCAAGCUUCUUCCACUUGGUCCACUCCAAAGCGGGCUGCAAAGGGGAAGAAGUGGAAGCAGUUGAAUGACACAUGUUGCAUUUUGUAACUGGCAACAAAGUACCAGGUAAAAAAGAUUGUGAAGCCUGCCUCCAUAAAGAACUAGUAGCUCUACAGGACAGAGAUUGGCUUGCCAUCAAGUACUACAUCCAUAACAGAAUUAUAUUAAAAAAAGGGGAAAAAAAUGUUUUCCCACAUCUACUGUGGUAGUUUGAGUAUGUUACCAGCAAUUAAAAAAGCAAAAUAAA